CAGGUCACUCCUACGGGAGGCAGCAGUGGGGAAUUUUGGACAAUGGGGGCAACCCUGAUCCAGCAAUGCCGCGUGAGUGAUGAAGGCCUUAGGGUUGUAAAGCUCUUUUGGCGGGGACGAUGAUGACGGUACCCGCAGAAUAAGCCUCGGCUAACUACGUGCCAGCAGCCGCGGUAAUACGAAGGGGGCUAGCGUUGCUCGGAAUUACUGGGCGUAAAGGGCGCGUAGGCGGACAGUUUAGUCAGAGGUGAAAGCCCAGGGCUCAACCUUGGAAUUGCCUUUGAUACUGGCUGUCUUGAGUUCGGGAGAGGUGAGUGGAAUGCCGAGUGUAGAGGUGAAAUUCGUAGAUAUUCGGCGGAACACCAGUGGCGAAGGCGACUCACUGGCCCGAUACUGACGCUGAGGCGCGAAAGCGUGGGGAGCAAACAGGAUUAGAUACCCUGGUAGUCCACGCCCUAAACGAUGCAUAUUUGGUGUGGGUCAUUCAGUUGAUCCGUGCCGGAGCUAACGCGUUAAAUAUGCCGCCUGGGGAGUACAGUCGCAAGGCUGAAACUUAAAGGAAUUGACG
rnacentral:rRNA from 1 species